UGCUUCAGGCCCCUCUCUCCCUCAAACCGACUCUCUCUGUCGCUCGCUUCCCCGUUCCCCAAUCUCUCGUCACCGGCGGUGGCUGCCCAGGCAGAUCCGGUGCUUCCCUGGUGCACGACGGCUACUACUCCCACGUCACCUGCUCCCUGCUUCGUCCCCUCCUACUCCGGCAUCCAGGUCACUUGGCUCCAUCACCAUGGCACCCAACAUCGCGUUGCGCAUCGUCGUCAGCGACCAGGCCGCCGCCGCCACGGUCCCCUCCUCCCUGGUAACCGCGGUCGGCCCGCCCGCUCAGCUGCAUAUUCCUAGAUCCGGAGGCAAGCUGGUAGUGGUCUAGUGUGCGGUGAUGCUACCAGUCUCCUCCUCCCCGGUGCUGCUAGAUCUAGCAAUAGCUCACCGGAGGUAAAGCCGGUGGUGCUCGAUCUCCUCUCUCCCUUCACCUCGCAGGAUCAGCAGCAUGGUCUGAUCUCUCCCAGCACAAGAAGAUCGAUGAGCAAUAAGCACUAGUAAUGGAGGCAGAGGCUAUAGCUUUUCUGUUGUGUACCAUCAAGUAGCAAAACUUGAUGCAAUUUCUAGUGGCAAUGCUUGUUGGACGACGACUAUUUUGGUCAUUCAUAAUUAGUCUUGCAUGAGAUGUACCAAAAAUGAUCCUCUCAUGCUAUGUUACACUUGAUAAGCUAUGUAUGUGUGUCUCCUCUGUUGUGUUCGGUCUGGGAU